GCAGUGAGGAAGAGGCUUACUUCGCCUGUCAAGCGAGAGGUCGCCGGUUCGAAUCCGGCUGCA
rnacentral:tRNA from 1 species